ACGAACGCUGGCGGCGUGGAUUAGGCAUGCAAGUCGAACGGUAGGAUACCUUCGGGUAUCUGAGAGUGGCGAACGGGUGAGUAACACGUAGGUGAUCUACCCUCAAGAUUGGGACAACCCAGGGAAACUUGGGCUAAUACCGGAUGAAAGCAGCAGUGAUGUUGUUUGAAAGGUGGCGUAAGCUGCCGUUUGGGGAUGAGCCUGCGCUCUAUUAGUUAGUUGGCGGGGUAAAGGCCCACCAAGGCGAUGAUAGAUAGGCGGCCUUAGCGGGUGGUCGCCCACACUGGGAUUGAGAUACGGCCCAGACUCCUACGGGAGGCAGCAGUCGAGAAUAGUCUACAAUGGCCGAAAGGCUGAUAGUGCGACGCCGCGUGAACGAAGAAGCCCUUCGGGGUGUAAAGUUCUUUUAUAUGUGAGCAGUGCUUUCUAUGUGAACAGCAUGGGGAGAGAGAUAUUAGCAUAUGAAUAAGCAUCGGCUAACUCCGUG
rnacentral:rRNA from 1 species